rnacentral:lncRNA from 13 species
GGUGGAGAAACCUACAUGGGCUUCUGGGUGCUGGAGUUCGGGCUGAAGCUUUCCGCUCAUUCCGCGUGACCUUGGGUGCGUGCCUGCUCCUGCCGUGCCUCAGUUUCCCCGGCUGGUAAGGGGAGACCUGGGGAGGUGAGAGGGCGCAGGGAAGCAGCCGCCACUAGGUGGAGCGAGGAGGCCGGUGCAGACGCCACGCGCUCCGGAGCUGCAGAGGCUGGAGCUGGCUGCGCUGCGUGGACGCCCACGGCCCCCCUGCCCCGCAGACAGCGUCCCUGGGAGCCGGACACCCUGUGAGGGGCGCGCGCCAGGUGCAGGAGGGAAGUGUCCCGGGCGCGUGGUUUGGGACCUGGAUCCCGGAGCGGACAGGCUCAGGCACCAGGAAUCAAGAGUCUAGCCCUCAGGGCCGGGGCUCAGGCCUG